AGAGUUUGAUCCUGGCUCAGGAUGAACGCUGGCGGCGUGCCUAACACAUGCAAGUCGAACGGAGCUGCUUUGAUGAAGUUUUCGGAUGGAUUUAAAACAGCUUAGUGGCGGACGGGUGAGUAACGCGUGGGUAACCUGCCUCACACUGGGGGAUAACAGUUAGAAAUAGCUGCUAAUACCGCAUAAGCGCACGGUUCCGCAUGGAACAGUGUGAAAAACUCCGGUGGUGUGAGAUGGACCCGCGUCUGAUUAGCCAGUUGGCGGGGUAACGGCCCACCAAAGCGACGAUCAGUAGCCGGCCUGAGAGGGUGAACGGCCACAUUGGGACUGAGACACGGCCCAAACUCCUACGGGAGGCAGCAGUGGGGAAUAUUGCACAAUGGGGGAAACCCUGAUGCAGCGACGCCGCGUGAGCGAAGAAGUAUUUCGGUAUGUAAAGCUCUAUCAGCAGGGAAGAAAAUGACGGUACCUGACUAAGAAGCCCCGGCUAACUACGUGCCAGCAGCCGCGGUAAUACGUAGGGGGCAAGCGUUAUCCGGAUUUACUGGGUGUAAAGGGAGCGUAGACGGCAAGGCAAGUCUGAUGUGAAAACCCAGGGCUUAACCCUGGGACUGCAUUGGAAACUGUCUGGCUCGAGUGCCGGAGAGGUAAGCGGAAUUCCUAGUGUAGCGGUGAAAUGCGUAGAUAUUAGGAGGAACACCAGUGGCGAAGGCGGCUUACUGGACGGUAACUGACGUUGAGGCUCGAAAGCGUGGGGAGCAAACAGGAUUAGAUACCCUGGUAGUCCACGCCGUAAACG
rnacentral:rRNA from 1 species